ACCUACGGGGGGCAGCAGUGGGGAAUAUUGCGCAAUGGGGGAAACCCUGACGCAGCAACGCCGCGUGAGUGAAGAAGGCCUUCGGGUCGUAAAGCUCUGUCUUUAGGGACGAUAAUGACGGUACCUAAGGAGGAAGCCACGGCUAACUACGUGCCAGCAGCCGCGGUAAUACGUAGGUGGCGAGCGUUGUCCGGAAUUACUGGGCGUAAAGGGUGCGUAGGCGGAAUAUUAAGUCAGAUGUGAAACUCCCGGGCUUAACUUGGGAACUGCAUUUGAAACUGAUAUUCUAGAGUGCAGGAGAGGGAAGCGGAAUUCCUAGUGUAGCGGUGAAAUGCGUAGAUAUUAGGAAGAACACCAGUGGCGAAGGCGGCUUUCUGGACUGUAACUGACGCUGAGGCACGAAAGCGUGGGGAGCAAACAGGAUUAGAUACCCCGGU
rnacentral:rRNA from 1 species